AUAAUUUUAGUUCGAAUUUUGGAGUUUCAUCAUUACCUGCGCAUAAAAAACGAAAGCGUAAAUUCAUUUAGUAAUUCGAAUUAUGGUGUUGUUGUUGCCCUGCGUUUCUACUGCCGUUGUUGUUGUUAGCCUUGCUUGUUGGUUGAUUCUAUGCUUCAUUUGUUUGCGGAAGGGUCUGUUUUGAUUAUUAGAUGGAUGGGAGGUUCAUUUGGUGUAGUUUCUCUCUCCUUUGUGACAUAUUCUCAAUGGCAGCGAGCCUCGAGUCACCAUUGCAAGCUUCAACAGCAACCUCAAUCGCCAAGCUAGACACCUCAGCCUUCUUCUCGGCUUCCCAUCUCCAAUUCUUCUGCCCGCGAUAGGAUGUUUAUGCAAAGGAGAGUGUUUGGCUAAGAAAGUGAAAGGUGUCCCUUUUAUGAGUUUCGAUUUGGGCACUUCUCCUACAGUACCUCUAGCCAUGACCGCAAACGAGGUUGGUGAUGUGCCUUGUUGAUAUCAUUACUAAUAAGGUUUUUAGCUUGAUGAUGUCAAUGACUAAGUUGCAUACUUUGAUAGUUUCUACUGUGAUAUCUGUAGCAGUGCAUGGAUUCCGACUCUCUGUAUCUACUCAAUAGCCACUAUAAUGUGAAUAUGGAGACGGGAAGCGGAAAAACAUAUAAAAUGUGGGGACCUGCCAAUGCUUUGCUGUAAGACAACCUCGCAAAUAAGCAACAGGGUUUAAAACCUCGUGUGUUUGAACUGCUUUUUGCUCGAAUAAAUGAGGUCAACUUCAUAUCCUUUUUAUUGUGCUAAGGUGUAUCAAAAAGAGACUGUUGUAUAAAAGUUUUUGUUUUUUUCUCUGUUUUGUGGUGUUCCAAGAACAAAUCAAGCACGCAGACAAACAACUUAAGUAUCAGUGUUGUUGCUCUUUUCUUGAGAUUUACAAUGAACAAAUUACAGAUUUAUUGGAUCCAACUCAGAAGAAUCUUCAGAUAAGGGAAGAUGUCAAAUCUGGCGUUUAUGUGGAAAAUCUCACAGAGGAGUAUGUAUCAACAGCCAAAGAUGUCAUUUGGCUUUUAUUGAAGGAUUUGGGAGAAUCAGUCAUAUGAUCACAAGAGGAAUCUUUUAGAAGGAUAAUGUUGAGAUCGUCAUUGUCAAGGAUCCUCUCAUCACCACAAAUUACAUUAUAUUUUUUAUUGAAGUAUUCAUUUGAAGGAGGGUGAAGAAUGGAGAGGAUUAGAGCAACAAUACAAUGUUGAGUGUUUUUGGUAAUCUUAAUGUAAAGUUGGACAUGUGUAACUUUUUUUCCUUUUGUAGAUUUUGUGAAAAUAUCAUCGAUGUGCUUUUUUAAUAUUGUUUUUGGUAAUCUUAAGCUUCAAAUGGGCUAUUUUUCCUUUAAAGUACAUGAUGAGUACAAUGCUUUCUUUGUUAGAAAGCAACAUCUACUUAUGUUUUCACAAUGAACUGGAAUAGUUUA